UACGAGGGCUUCAAGCGUUAUCCGGAAUUAUUGGGCGUAAAGCGUACGCAGGCUGCUUAGUGCGUCUCGUGUGAAAUCUCAACUGCUCAACAGUGAGAAUUGCGCGGGAUACGGCUAGGCUAGAGAAUGUGAGAGGUUAGUGGAACUCAAAGUGUAGGGGUGAAAUCCGUUGAUAUUUUGGGGAACACCGAAGGCGAAGGCAGCUAACUGGCACAUUUCUGACGCUCAGGUACGAAAGCGUGGGUAGCGAAUGGG
rnacentral:misc_RNA from 1 species